rnacentral:lncRNA from 1 species
GAUGAAGGAGAUGAACAAAGUGAUGAAAACUUUGAAACCGAUGAGAGUGAAUGAUAAUGACUUUUUACUGUAAUUUCUUUUCUAGAGUGUUUUCUUUUAUUACUAUUGCUACUAUUUUCUGUUGCUUGAUGUCAUUUCUGAAAACCUAAGUAUUUUUUUUUCGAAGUUGAUUCAUCAAUCUGUUAAAAUGGUUAUUUAGCACUCUUUUAAAUGCUUUUAUUUUCN